UGUAGUAUAUUCCAGGCAGUGUGCUAGAUAC
rnacentral:piRNA from 1 species